CUCGAUAUAAAUAAUUUGAGAGAUUCCUAUUGACCCCACCAAGGCUGGCAUCAAUCCUGGGGACUACAAAGGAGCUGCUGCAUCUUUCAGAUACGAAGAUGAAAAUUUGUGCCAAAACCAUUUCUCAUCUCACAGGUACAGCUGCCACUUAUCCCUUGAUUUUCCCGUGGUGCUGCUCUGGAAAAUGAGUGCAGGGUUUGACCAUAAAUUCCCAUUUUUUCCUCUUGUUUGAUCAGGAUCUGCCUCUGUUCUGGGAGAACCAGGGCAGGUUUUCCAAAGAAGUGAAUUGGAGCAGGAGUAAACCCUAAUGAACACCAUUUUUUAAGUCUUUUGGCUUCCCAGUGUGUGCCACCCUAAAUAAAUGGCUGCUGGUGCCGUAGCAAAACACCCAGAGUGUGGUUUUAGUGCAGAAUAAUCACAAGGAAAGGCAGAUUAUAAAUUCUGGCCAUGAAACAUGACCGUGAUAAAAACCACAAAUAGACCCAGAAGGGCUUGUGGCGAUUUAAGGCAGAUCCGUUAAAAUGUGUGCACGAUAUUACAAGUUUGGGAUUGUGCUGAGCUGGGCUUUAAAGUGUUUAAAUCCCCCCAGAGGGCUCCACCAGCUCGUGUGUCACCUGAAUUCCCUGUGACAUCAGUCAGGAACCUUUCUGAGGGCCAGCACCUUCACUGAGCUGCCUCAGUGCACAACUCUAGCACCGCGCUCAUUCCUUCUUCCCUUCCACCCUAAAUUAAGCUUGAUAGUUCCCCACCUUAUUUAUUCCUUUUAAUUGACCUGGCUCAUUUCUAUAAAGUAGAUUCAGCCCUCCUGAAAGCAGCUCUGUAUUGAUCAAACCUGACCUAUUUUCUCGGUGCGCCCACCCAGCUCUCGUGGCGGCAGCGGCGGCGCAAAGCUGCUCCAUCAAUAUCCUCGUUUUGCUGCAGCAAGGACGAGAUGCACCUUCAGGGCUUGAGACCUGCUCACUCAUCGAUCUGAUGAAUAAAAUUGUCCAUGGGAAGGGGUGGGGAAAUGUUGGGAAAAAGCAAGGAGGAAGUACUGUACAACUUCACAGCCCUGGUCCAGGCCCCAUGGUCAUCCCAGCUCUCUUUAAUAUAUUUCUUUAUUGAAAUCCAGCACCCCUAUUCUGAGGAACUGAAGCCACCAUUCUGUGCACCACUCAGAAACACUCUUGCAGAAAUUUGGAAUUUAUCAGCAGAGAUUAAUUGA
rnacentral:lncRNA from 1 species